rnacentral:rRNA from 1 species
GACGAACGCUGGCGGCGUGCUUAACACAUGCAAGUCGAACGGAAAGGCCCUGCUUUUGUGGGGUGCUCGAGUGGCGAACGGGUGAGUAACACGUGAGUAACCUGCCCUUGACUUUGGGAUAACUUCAGGAAACUGGGGCUAAUACCGGAUAGGAGCUCCUGCUGCAUGGUGGGGGUUGGAAAGUUUCGGCGGUUGGGGAUGGACUCGCGGCUUAUCAGCUUGUUGGUGGGGUAGUGGCUUACCAAGGCUUUGACGGGUAGCCGGCCUGGGAGGGUGACCGGCCCCAUUGGGCCUGAGAUACGGCCCAGACUCCUACGGGAGGCAGCAGUGGGGAAUAUUGCACAAUGGGCGGAAGCCUGAUGCAGCAACGCCGCGUGCGGGAUGACGGCCUUCGGGUUGUAAACCGCUUUCGCCUGUGACGAAGCGUGAGUGACGGUAAUGGGUAAAGAAGCACCGGCUAACUACGUG